ACAGCUUUGUGUUCAUCCCUCCAGCAGCUGAUGGAUUAUGGAUCAUUUCCAGUUUGACCAUUAUGAAUAAUACUACUGGAAACACUUGCAUGCAAGGAAUCUGUGGACAUGUGCUUUCACUUCUCGAGGAAAUGAAGACUCAGAAAGGCCCAGAGAAUUACACAGCUGGUUGUGUCUGAGCUGGAACUUGAGCUUCGAUCUCUUGAUGCCCAAUGAGAUGGCCCUCCACUGCUCUAGGCUGACCACCUGCCGGCUUGUCCGCUGCAUGCUGGGGUCACCAUCAUCAAGUGUAAACAAGUUACCGGUUUCAGUAGCCUAUGGACUAGCACUUUCCCCAAUUUUUGUCAUUGUAAACGCUGAUAAUCAGUCACUCCAUUCUUUCCAUUGAUCUUGAACUAGGCGUCCGACGUCCCGGACGUUACUUCCAGUCAGAAGGAAGACGAAGCCUCUUUGCCUGCCUUGCAACAGCUGCUUUUAAAGCUUCUUCUGCGACCCUGGGGAAUUAUGUGUGUGUGUGUGUGUGUGUGUGUGUGUGUGUGUGUACGUACAUGUGCACACACAGACCAUCACCACCACUAACAGUUUGAGUAAAAGCCGACUUUACAGGAAAUAUCAUCCUAAAUUGAAAGCGUCAGGGGUUCCUGGGUUCUUCCCCUUCAUUAACUGAUAAAGUGACAGAGCUGGGAAAUGGAGGGGCAGACUCCGUCCGGAGGGGAAUGCGUACGUGUGUGGUAGAACAUCUGUCUAACAUCAUUCCACAACGCUCAGAGGAAUGACUAACAGGUCUGGAAAUGCAGGCCUGGGAAAACCAACAAGUUGAAGUUCAGGGCAACAGCUGAUGUGUGAAAAAAAUUAAGCUUAAAAGAAUUUAUUUUCAAAGACUAGUGAA